rnacentral:rRNA from 1 species
GCAUAUCAAUAAGCGGAGGAAAAGAAACCAACCGGGAUUGCCUCAGUAACGGCGAAGUGAAGCGGCAAGAAGCUCAAAUUUGAAAGCUGGCCCCUUCGGGGUCCGCAUUGUAAUUUGCAGAGGAUGCUUCGGGUGCAGCCCCCGUCUAAGUGCCCUGGAAUGGGCCGUCAGAGAGGGUGAGAAUCCCGUCUGGGAUGGGGUGCCUGUGCCCGUGUGAAGCUCCUUCGACGAGUCGAGUUGUUUGGGAAUGCAGCUCUAAAUGGGUGGUAAAUUUCAUCUAAAGCUAAAUAUUGGCCGGAGACCGAUAGCGCACAAGUAGAGUGAUCGAAAGAUGAAAAGCACUUUGAAAAGAGAGUUAAACAGCACGUGAAAUUGUUGAAAGGGAAGCGCUUGCGACCAGACUCGCCUCCGGGGUUCAGCCGGCAUUCGUGCCGGUGUACUUCCCCGGGGGCGGGCCAGCGUCGGUUUGGGCGGCCGGUCAAAGGCCUCCGGAAUGUAGCGCCCUUCGGGGCGCCUUAUAGCCGGGGGUGCAAUGCGGCCAGCCUGGACCGAGGAACGCGCUUCGGCUCGGACGCUGGCAUAAUGGUCGUAAACGACCCGUCUUGAAACACGGACCAAGGAGUCUAACAUCUACGCGAGUGUUCGGGUGUCAAACCCGUACGCGCAGUGAAAGCGAACGGAGGUGAGAGCCCCCUCGUGGGGCGCAUCAUCGACCGAUCCUGAAGUCUUCGGAUGGAUUUGAGUAGGAGCGUAGCUGUGGGGACCCGAAAGAUGGUGAACUAUGCCUGAAUAGGGCGAAGCCAGAGGAAACUCUGGUGGAGGCUCGCAGCGGUUUCUGACGUGCAAAUCGAUCGUCAAAUUUGGGUAUAGGGGGCGAAAGACUAAUCGAACCAUCUGGUAGCUGGUUCCUGCCGAAG